rnacentral:piRNA from 1 species
UGAAUGAAAUUCAGUUCUUGUGGGUAUACAC